CCUACGGGUGGCAGCAGUGGGGAAUAUUGGACAAUGGGCGAAAGCCUGAUCCAGCCAUGCCGCGUGUGUGAAGAAGGCCUUCGGGUUGUAAAGCACUUUCAGUGGGGAAGAAAGCCUUGGGGCUAAUACCCUCGAGGAAGGACAUCACCCACAGAAGAAGCACCGGCUAACUCCGUGCCAGCAGCCGCGGUAAUACGGAGGGUGCGAGCGUUAAUCGGAAUUACUGGGCGUAAAGCGCGCGUAGGCGGUCUGAUAAGCCGGUUGUGAAAGCCCCGGGCUCAACCUGGGAACGGCAUCCGGAGCUGUCAGGCUAGAGUGCAGGAGAGGAAGGUAGAAUUCCCGGUGUAGCGGUGAAAUGCGUAGAGAUCGGGAGGAAUACCAGUGGCGAAGGCGGCCUUCUGGACUGACACUGACGCUGAGGUGCGAAAGCGUGGGUAGCAAACAGGAUUAGAUACCCGGGUAGUC
rnacentral:rRNA from 1 species